UCAAAUCCAGUGCAAAUUCCUCCUCUAUCAAUCAGGAUUGUGAGCUCAUUAAACACAGUUAAUCCUUGAUACAUUUUUUUGAUGCCAGUUAUUCUAAAAAAAACCGAUGGCAGUCCUGUUGCUGGCUGAGACAGUAAGAUUGAUGAUAUGAUUUUAUGAGACUAUGGCAGUGGGUUCACACAGUCACAGAAGAUAACUGUAAUAUCCAGUUGACUAUCCAGAAUAAGUACGGCAUCAACAGUAUACUUAUCUAUGACAGAAACUCAAAGGAGUGGCCAUCUUCUUGGAUCAGCUGCUGCAAUCCCUUCACCUUCUUGUACAUUCCUGCUUCUUUCAGUUAAAUGGAUAAUUAAUUAAAGCUAAUACUUUAAACAUUGACACCACUAAAAGGGUGACUACAAAAGGGGCAACUCAUUAUAACCCCCAUUACAACUAUCUGACCAUUGCCAUUAAAUUAUACAACAUUUUUCUUAACAUUCUUUACUUAUUACUUUUUCCAGGCCUUAAUUUACUUAUUUCCAUUUGUCUGGUAUCCAUAUUUGCAUCACUCCUAUAGUUAAAGAUGUAUAGCCAUGUAGAUGUGUGCCAGAAAAAGAUAUAGGAACUUGAAUGUAUGAGCAGCUAAGUAUAUACCAAAAUGCAACCUUUGUGAACUAUGUAACACCAAAAGAUAACAUGAACAUAAAAGGCAUGUGAUUCUUAUAACUGAUAUAGCAAACUAAAUACUCACUAUAAGCUUACUUUUUCCACAGUCUGGCUCAACCAUUAACAACCAACUUUAGAAUAUGGAAGCGUUCCUAGCUCCAGCAAUAACAACCUUGACGACAUAUGCACCUCCUCAAGCAACAACCAACCAUUGCAGUUAUGCGUUUCUGAAGCAAGUUAAUAUGAUAGAAUUAGAUCAAAAUUUGUAUUUUUAAGAUAAAAUAAUCUAUAAAUCUAAAUGCUAUUUGAGGCCACAAAUUAUAAGUUUUACCUAAAUAAUAACGUACAUUUUUGAGAAAAAAAUUGGGCUAGCCCAACCACUCCUUGGUUAUACUAUUAUAAUCAUCCUUGCAAUCGACAUGCGCCUUUUAUUCCCUCCAUGGCAGCAUACAACCACCGCAUGGUGUUUACAGCAGUCCUAUGGAAAUUAGAGUGAGAAGAAUACAGGCAUGCACAAAAAAAAAGAACUAUGUUGCACAUGCUUAUACCUCACAGACUUGCUAGAAUAUCUAAAAUUUGGAUCUGGUAUAUGCAGAUAAAUAAUAUAAAAUUGAUGAGUAUCCCUAACGUCUCGACCAAUCUGUUAUCCUCAAGCUUCAGAUGUAUCCUCACGAGCCACUCCAAUUUAUGAAGCAAAGUUCAUCUGCAACUUGUUAACAAUGCGCGAACCUCUUUUUUUGUGGGAACAAUAUGUGAACCUAGAUGUACCUUGUGGUGCCAGCGAAGGUCAUGAUGGUGGGGUGCACCAGUGACUGGCUGACACAAUAUCCUGUGGCGCACACGGUGGGUGACAGAAACUCAUCGGGGCAACCGAGGCAAAACAACGAGCAUGUAGCACACAUGAACCUUGGAACAACAUAAUCCAACACUAAAUAUCCGCAAACUCCUGGAAUGUAUCUACAUUCCCGGCAGCAUAUUAUACAUAAAAUAUUUAUCGACAGUUAGACCAUAUAAGAAUCAAGAUUUGUGCCAGCAAAAAUGUGAUUAACCUAGGUUUAAUUAUAUCUCGCCAAUUUGAAAUCAAUAGACAAAGAUACCGCAUCGUAAAUUUAAGAAAUGGAAAAUGAGAACAUAUACAUUUAACUGAAUUAGACUCACUCGCUUGAGGUUGCAAUAUGGUAUCCUAGGCUGCACAAAAAGUGCAAGUAGCGCAGCCCCUUGUCCAACCCCGCGGCAAUCCUGUUCCUGGUGUCCCAACUGAGUCACCUGCACAUUAAAUUAAGGCGCGGCUAAAUAAAAAAUCCUUCGUUUAACCAAGACAAUUCAUGUAUGCGCCAUUACACAUUUAUAAGAAAAUAUACCCCAAAUUAAACUAUACAUGAACCACCUUAUGCUUGGAAAGAGCCUUCCAAUCAUCUUUUGGUCGUAUGGCUCUAGUAAGGAAGAAUCAAACUUUCCUAUCCAGAUAUGUAGAAGUGAUCCGAGCAUAC
rnacentral:lncRNA from 1 species